CAUAACCAAUAAGGUUGAAAUUUUCACCUGAAGGAUAGUGCAGAACAAGGUUCAUUGUGCCCUUAAAAUAUCUCAGAAUUCUCUUAGCAGCCUUUAAAGAUGUCUUAGAAUUUGAUUGGAACCUUGCACAUAAUUGCACACUAAAUACAAUGUUUAGACUGCUGGCAGUAAGGUAUAGUAGAGAUAAAAUGAUUCCCAUAUACAUUGUUUGAUAUAUAGGUUAUCUAGAAUCAUCCAUGUCCAGCUUAGUAGCAGUAGCAAUAGGGGUAGCACCUUUGAUGCUUCCAUAUCAAACUUUUUCAAGAGUUUUUUAAUGUAUUUCUGCUGACUAAUACACGUUUACUUUAUGUACUACUUCACUCGAAGACUUAGGAAGACAUUUAGUUCACCCAUCAUACUCAUUUCAAACUUACUUCCCGUGAGUUUAGCAAAUUCUUCACAUAAUUAGGGUGGUAGCUUGAUAUAGACUUCUUCCUUGAGAAAACAAUUUAAAGCGGCAUUUUUCACAUCCAUUAGGAAUAGAGUGAAUUCUAUAUGUGAAGCAAAGUCAAUGGGGAUCCAAAUAGCUUCCAUGCGAGCUAAUAGGGCAAAAGUCUCAUCACAAUUGAUCCCUUCCUCCUGAUUGUAUCCUCGGACAGCAAGCCUUGCUUUGUUCCUUGUAGUAUUUCCAUGUUCAUCCAGCUUAUUCCUGAAUACCCACAUGGUCCUAUGAUGGUUCUUUCUGAGGGUCUAGGUACCAGGUGCCAUCCCUUGUUUCUUUCAAAUUGAUAUAGUUCCUCUUCCAUUGCAGUAAUCUAGACUAUAUCCUUCAAGGCUUCCUUGACAUUUUUGGGUUCUAUUUGUGAUAGAAAUGAUGAGAAAGCUAGGGAAUUUCUGAUUUUUGAUCUUGUCUGAAUCCAGAAUCAAGGGGUGAUUAUAUUAUCAAGUGUAUGAGAGCUUUUGUAUUUCCAAUUUGGGACUAAAGUUUGAUUGGUAGAGGAAUUAGGUAAGCUAAAUGGAUUUCCCUGCACUCCUUGGUUCUUUCUGAGGGUCUAGGUACCAGGUGUUAUACCUUGUUUCUUUCAAAUUGAUGUAGUUCCUCUUGCAUUGCAGUAAUCCAGUCUGCAUCCUUCAAGACUUUCUUAAUAGUUUGGGGUUAUAUUUAGGAUAGAAAUGCUGAGAAGGCUAGGGAAUUUGUGAUUUUAAUCUUGUCUGAACUCCAGAAUAAAGGGGUGAUUAUAUUAUCAAGUGUAUGGGAGCUUUUGUGUUUCCAAUUUGGGACUAAAGUUUGAUUGGUAGAUGAACUGGGUAAGUCAAAUGGAUUUCCCUGCACUCCUUAUUCUGUUACUUGUGGAGUGCCUUGCACUGCAUCUCCAACUCUUUCUUCAGCUUCAGUUGUAGUAAUUGAAGUACUAGGUUCCUCUUAAGAAGUGGAAGAGGACGUUGCAUUGUCUUCACCUAUCUCCAUUUGACUUAUCAUAUCAGCAUUUCCAUUUAAACAUCAGAUAUUUCCCAGGGACCAAAAAU
rnacentral:lncRNA from 1 species